CCACAAUGGGCGAAAGCCUGAUGGAGCAACGCCGCGUGUGUGAUGAAGGCUUUCGGGUCGUAAAGCACUGUUGUAUGGGAAGAACAGCUAGAAUAGGGAAUGAUUUUAGUUUGACGGUACCAUACCAGAAAGGGACGGCUAAAUACGUGCCAGCAGCCGCGGUAAUACGUAUGUCCCGAGCGUUAUCCGGAUUUAUUGGGCGUAAAGCGAGCGCAGACGGUUGAUUAAGUCUGAUGUGAAAGCCCGGAGCUCAACUCCGGAAUGGCAUUGGAAACUGGUUAACUUGAGUGCAGUAGAGGUAAGUGGAACUCCAUGUGUAGCGGUGGAAUGCGUAGAUAUAUGGAAGAACACCAGUGGCGAAGGCGGCUUACUGGACUGUAACUGACGUUGAGGCUCGAAAGUGUGGGUAGCAAACAGGAUUAGAUACCCUGGUAGUCCACACCGUAAACGAUGAACACUAGGUGUUAGGAGGUUUCCGCCUCUUAGUGCCGAAGCUAACGCAUUAAGUGUUCCGCCUGGGGAGUACGACCGCAAGGUUGAAACUCAAAGGAAUUGACGGGGACCCGCACAAGCGGUGGAGCAUGUGGUUUAAUUCGAAGCAACGCGAAGAACCUUACCAGGUCUUGACAUCCUUUGAAGCUUUUAGAGAUAGAAGUGUUCUCUUCGGAGACAAAGUGACAGGUGGUGCAUGGUCGUCGUCAGCUCGUGUCGUGAGAUGUUGGGUUAAGUCCCGCAACGAGCGCAACCCUUAUUGUUAGUUGCCAGCAUUCAGAUGGGCACUCUAGCGAGACUGCCGGUGACAAACCGGAGGAAGGCGGGGACGACGUCAGAUCAUCAUGCCCCUUAUGACCUGGGCUACACACGUGCUACAAUGGCGUAUACAACGAGUUGCCAACCCGCGAGGGUGAGCUAAUCUCUUAAAGUACGUCUCAGUUCGGAUUGUAGUCUGCAACUCGACUACAUGAAGUCGGAAUCGCUAGUAAUCGCGGAUCAGCACGCCGCGGUGAAUACGUUCCCGGGUCUUGUACACACCGCCCGUCACACCAUGGGAGUUUGUAAUGCCCAAAGCCGGUGGCCUAACCUUUAGGAAGAGCCGUCUAAGUCAGAUCG
rnacentral:rRNA from 1 species